AGUGAACGCUGGCGGUAGGCCUAACACAUGCAAGUCGAACGGCAGCACAGUAAGAGCUUGCUCUUACGGGUGGCGAGUGGCGGACGGGUGAGGAAUACAUCGGAAUCUACUUUUUCGUGGGGGAUAACGUAGGGAAACUUACGCUAAUACCGCAUACGACCUACGGGUGAAAGCAGGGGAUCUUCGGGCCUUGCGCGAUUGAAUGAGCCGAUGUCGGAUUAGCUAGUUGGCGGGGUAAGGCCCACCAAGGCGACGGUUCGUAGCUGGUCUGGGGGGAUGAUCAGCCACAGUGGAACUGAGACACGGUCCAGACUCCUACGGGAGGCAGCAGUGGGGAAUAUUGGACAAUGGGCGCAAGCCUGAUCCAGCCAUACCGCGUGGGUGAAGAAGGCCUUCGGGUUGUAAAGCCCUUUUGUUGGGAAAGAAAAGCAGCAGGUUAAUACCCCGCUGUUCUGACGGUACCCAAAGAAUAAGCACCGGCUAACUUCGU
rnacentral:rRNA from 1 species